CAAGCGGAGGAGCAUGUGGUUUAAAUCGAUGAUACGCGAGGAACCUUACCAAGGCUUAAAUGUAGAUUGACCGAUUUGGAAACAGAUCUUUCGCAAGACAAUUUACAAGGUGCUGCAUGGUUGUCGUCAGCUCGUGCCGUGAGGUGUCAGGUUAAGUCCUAUAACGAGCGCAACCCCUGUUGUUAGUUGCCAGCGAGUCAUGUCGGGAACUCUAACGAGACUGCCAGGGCAAACUGUGAGGAAGGUGGGGAUGACGUCAAAUCAUCACGGCCCUUACGCCUUGGGCUACACACGUGCUACGAUGGCCGGUACAGAGAGCAGCCACCUCGCGAGGGGGAGCGAAUCUAUAAAACCGGUCACAGUUCGGAUCGGAGUCUGCAACUCAACUCCGUGAAGCUGGAAUCGCUAGUAAUCGGAUAUCAGCCAUGAUCCGGUGAAUACGUUCCCGGGCCUUGUACACACCGCCCGUCAAGCCAUGGAAGCUGGGGGUGCCUGAAGUCGGUGACCGCAAGGAGCUGCCUAGGGUAAAACUGGUAACUAGGGCUAAGUCGUAACAAGGUAACAAGUCGUAGAGUUUGAUCAUGGCU
rnacentral:rRNA from 1 species